rnacentral:rRNA from 1 species
UACGGAGGGAGCUAGCGUUAUUCGGAAUUACUGGGCGUAAAGCGCACGUAGGCGGCUUUGUAAGUUAGAGGUGAAAGCCUGGGGCUCAACCCCAGAAUUGCCUUUAAGACUGCAUCGCUUGAAUCCAGGAGAGGUGAGUGGAAUUCCGAGUGUAGAGGUGAAAUUCGUAGAUAUUCGGAAGAACACCAGUGGCGAAGGCGGCUCACUGGACUGGUAUUGACGCUGAGGUGCGAAAGCGUGGGGGGCAAACAGG